rnacentral:rRNA from 1 species
AAGCUCGUAGUUGAAUUUCGGGGUUAGUAGGUUGGUCAUGCCUCUGGUAUGUACUGGUCUCACUGAUUCCUCCUUCCUUAUGAACCGUAAUGCCAUUAAUUUGGUGUUGCGGGGAAUUUGGACUGUUACUUUGAAAAAAUUAGAGUGUUUAAAGCAAGCUAACGCUUGAAUACAUUAGCAUGGAAUAACGAAAUAGGACGUUCGAUCUUAUUUUGUUGGUUUCUAGGAUUGACGUAAUGAUUAAUAGGGAUAGUUGGG